UUAAAGUAAGAUAAUAAUCUAUUAACCUUCAAAGUUGGAAAUGUAAUUAUUAAGAUUAAUUAGAUUC
rnacentral:tRNA from 1 species